AUUGAACGCUGGCGGCAGGCCUAACACAUGCAAGUCGAACGAGUGGCGGACGGGUGAGUAAUGUCUGGGAAACUGCCUAAUGGAGGGGGAUCACUACUGGCAACGGUAGCUACUACCGCAUACCAUCAGAUGUUCCCAGAUGGGAUUAGCUUGUUGGUGGGGUAACGGCUCACCAAGGCUACGAUCCCUAGCUGGUCUGAGAGGAGGACCAGCCACACUGGAACUGAGACACGGUCCAGACUCCUACGGGAGGCAGCAGUGGGGAAUAUUGCACAAUGGGCGCAAGCCUGAUGCAGCCAUGCCGCGUGUAUGAAGAAGGCCUUCGGGUUGUAAAGUACUUUCAGCGGGGAGGCGUUACCCGCAGAAGAAGCACCGGCUAACGCCGUGCCAGCAGCCGCGGUAAUUC
rnacentral:rRNA from 1 species